rnacentral:lncRNA from 1 species
GGUUCAAUCCUUGGUGGGUUAAGGAUAUGGCAUUGCCAAGAGCUGUGGUAUAGGUUGCAGACAUAGAGACUUGGAUCUGGCAUUGCUGUGGCUGUGGUGUAGGCUGGCAGCUGCAGAUCUGAUUCGUCCCCUAGCCUGGGAACUUUCAUGUGCCGCAAGUAUGGCCCUAAAAAGCCAAAAAAAAAAAAAUAGAAAAAAAGAAAAAUAAUCAUGAGAAACUUUCACUUAUUUAUUCUCUCAUUUAUUUCACAUAUAUUUUUUCACUGCUAACUUCUUUCAGGUGCUAUGCUAGCUACAGUAACACAGAAAUGAUUUAUAAAUGAUCUUCCCUUCAAAAAUCUCACCUUUGAAUACAUAUAAAAAUACACAAAUAGGAAAAUGGUUAAUGCAGUGUAAUAAGUGCAUUGUUAAAGGUAUGUGCAGAAUUAUGGGUAAGCACAGGAACAGAUUAUUCACCUCAGCAUACUUUGCUUUCUCUACAGUUAAGUGGGAAUAUUGUAGAGUCUAUCUUAUAAUGUCGUUAUGAGGAUCAAUAUGUGGAAAGUGAUGUAUAACAUAUGGUAAAUGCCAAUAAAGCUUUUCUAUUCUUGUUAUUGUAUUAAUCACUGAUUUAUUCAUCAGGACCAAAUACUUAACCUCAGAGUUCUGAGCCCUCGUAAAUGAGCAAGACCUAAAUUUGUGCCUUUGAGAAACUUAUAUCCUCAUAUUUGAGCAUAGAGGAAAAAUAGGUAGGCAACUAUGAUGACAUUGAUAUAGGACAAGCACAGGGGUGUGUAAGGGAAAAAAAAAACAGGAAAAAUGUCAAGUUUAUGUGUUUUCUGGAGGCUCUGUCUGGGCUAGAUUCUUUGAAAAAUAAAGAUAUAUCAUGCAGAUGAGAGACUGUGGAGUAGUGGAUAAACAGUAGGAAAAGAUACUGCAAGUGGAGAAAUUGGUAGGUUUCUUUCAUGGAAAAAAAAUCACGGCGAUUAGAGAAGAGACUGAAGUGACAGAGGGAGAGGAGGGAGUAGAAGGCAGGGAUCAAGCAAGUAGAACUUCAAAAAACGUAUGCAACCACAAGUCUGUUCUCCAAUCCCAUGAGUUUCUUUUCUGUGGAAAGGUUCAUCUGUGCCAUAUAUUAGACUACAGAUAUAAGUGAAUCAUAUGGUACUUAUCUUUCUCUUUCUGACUUAUUUCACUCAGUAGGAGAGUCUCUAGUUCCAUCCAUGCUGCUGCAAAUGGCAUUAUUUCAUUCUUUUUUAUGGCUGAGUAGUAUUCCAUUGUGUAUAUCUACCACAUCUUCCUAUCCAAUCAUCUGUUGAUGGACAUUCGGGUUGUUUCCAUGUCUUGGCUAUUGUGAAUAGAGCUGAAAUUGGGGGAGGGAGUGGGAUGGAUUGGGAACUUGGGGUUAAUAGAUGCAGACUAUUGCUUUUGGAGUGAAUUAGCAGUGAGAUCCUGCUGUAGCACUGGGAACUAUGUCUAGUCACUUAUGAUGGAACAUGAUAAUGUGAGAAAAAAGAAUGUAUAUUUGCAUGUGUAACUGGGUCACCAUGCCAUACAGUAGGAAAAAAAAUAAUGUAUUGGGGAAAUAUGCAAAGGGGAGAAGGAUCAAGAUGGCUGAGGAGUAAGACGUCGUGCUCACCUUCUCUCACAAACACAUCAAAAAGCGUAGGCAAAGGGAGAUGAAUCUGAACCUGAGCACCAGUAUAGUGCUGCUUCCAUGGGCCACGCCCCACUCUAAAGGGCAAAAGGGACUUUAAAGUGAGAUUUUAAAGGGGUCUUUGUACCUCUGUAUAGCACUUACCAUCUCCUACUUUAUAUCCUAGUGAUAAUGGGUUAUCACUAGAAUAUAAAUAAUGAAUGACGUCGUGCUCAGCAAGGUUUUUUUUGUUUUUGUUUUUGUUUUUCCAUUUAUUCCCUAGAAGUACAAGGCUCAGCAGAGAAUUUGUGCCUGGUGAACAUUUGCCAAGUGAAUUUUCCAAAGACUAAAUGCAGACUCACCCCCAGGAGAGAACUCAAUAUUCUAGGUCUGCUGAAACCCUAACUGAGCCUUCUGUUAAGUUGAAACAGGCUGUGGAGAGAUGGAAAGAAUAUCAGACUGGGCUGUCAGAAGACUCAGAUUCUAGCACUGACCUUGAUAUUAUUUUCCCAUCUGCUCUUCUGAAAGAUACGUUCUCAAGUUUGAGCAUUAGUUUCUGCAAUUGAAAUAUAGGAAUAAUAAUACUUUCUUCAUUCCACCACAAGAGAGAUAAGAUAAUAAACUCAGGAAAAGUAAUAAUAAGGUUUUUGAAAUUCAAAAUAGAUGAGAACACAUUUGAUUAAUCAAAUAUAGUUCCUAAAGCUUUAUUUCCUCUCCAACUUUUUAUAUUUUGUGAUGAAAUUUAAGGACAACAGCCCCAUGAUCUUUGGUCAAAGUCUUGGGGGCUGCCCUUGGACAGAGAAAUUAGGGUGAACAUAAGAAGAGGAAAGUUGACAAGUUAAAUGUCAGAGAGUUUGGAAAAUAUCUUCUCCCUAAACUGUAAAACUGAUAGGACUGUGUAUAUGACUCUUUAAGCUGAAUUCUCCCGGAAGCAAAUCUUGAGAUAGGACUUAAUUGCAAGUGUUUCAUUUGAGGGAUUGUUCCAGGAAAUAUUGAGGGGGAAAUAAGAAAACCAGUAAGGGUGAGUGAUUGAGCAUGUUACCUUUGUGAGUAAGUGGGGGUGAAAACCCAGUGGGAAAUUUUGAAACAUAGUGGAGAAUAUACUUCAGAGUUAUUCCACCUGUAGGCCCGGGAGGUGAGUUAGUUAUCCUCCCAUUUUUCAUUGGCUGGGAGCUGCUCUUGCCAGCUUCCUGUCUGACCCUGCAUGAUGGAUAGCAAUCCCCCAGGUAGGGGCUCAUUUCAGGACACAAGAGGAUGCUGUUGAGGUAGAACUGUGGGUGCUGAAGGUUAGGGCACUCAGGGUGUGUGCCACCCUCUUCACCUUGCACCACGCUGAUCCUAGGUCUACACUACAUUAACUAGACCUGUCACUGAUCCUUCAUGAUGGUG